AUGGCAGCCACUGGUUUCGCUUCGCUCUUUUUUUACUUUUGCAUUUUGCUCUUGUGCCAUAGCUCCAUGGCACAACUGUUUGGCAUGAGCUUUAACCCAUGGCAAAGCUCUCGCCAAGGGGGUUUCAGAGAGUGUACAUUCAAUAGGCUUCAAGCAUCUACACCACUUCGUCAAGUGAGGUCACAAGCAGGCCUGACUGAGUAUUUUGAUGAGGAAAAUGAGCAAUUUCGUUGUGCUGGUGUAUUUGUCAUCCGCCGUGUAAUCGAACCUCGUGGUUAUUUGUUACCACGAUACCACAACACUCACGGAUUAGUCUACAUCAUCCAAGGAAGUGGUUUCGCCGGAUUGUCUUUUCCUGGAUGCCCAGAGACAUUCCAAAAGCAGUUUCAAAAAUAUGGGCAAGCACAAUCCGUACAGGGUCAAAGCCAAAGCCAAAAGUUCAAAGAUGAGCACCAAAAAGUUCACCGUUUCAGACAAGGAGAUGUCAUUGCACUACCGGCAGGCAUUGUACAUUGGUUCUACAAUGACGGUGAUGCGCCAAUUGUGGCUAUCUAUGUUUUCGACGUAAACAACUAUGCUAAUCAACUUGAGCCUAGGCAUAAGGAAUUUUUGUUCGCUGGCAACUAUAGGAGUUCCCAACUUCACUCUAGUCAAAACAUAUUCAGUGGUUUCGAUGUUCGAUUGCUUGCUGAGGCCUUGGGUACAAGUGGAAAAAUAGCGCAAAGGCUUCAAAGUCAAAAUGAUGACAUAAUUCAUGUGAAUCAUACCCUUAAAUUUCUGAAGCCUGUUUUUACACAACAACGAGAGCCAGAAUCCUACCCACACACUCAAUAUGAGGAACGGCAAUCUCAGGCAAAACACUCUCAGGAAGAGCAACCUCAAAUGGGGCAGUCUCAGGGAGAGCAACCUCAAACGGGGCAGUCUCAGGGAAAGCACAUUCAGGGAGAGCAACCUCAAAUGGGGCAGUCUCAGGCAAAACACUAUCAAGGAGACCAACCUGAAGAAGGGCAGGAAGGGCAAUCUCAAGAAGAACAAUCUCAGGCAGGGCCAUAUCCGGGAUGUCAACCUCGUGCAGGGCAAUCUCAUGCAUCACAAUCAACUUAUGGUGGUUGGAAUGGUUUGGAGGAGAACUUUUGUGAUCAUAAGCUAAGUGUGAACAUCGACGAUCCCAGUCGUGCUGACAUAUACAACCCGCGUGCCGGUACAAUAACCCGUCUCAACACCCAAACGUUCCCCAUCCUUAACAUCGUGCAAAUGAGUGCUACAAGAGUACAUCUCUAUCAGAAUGCCAUUAUUUCACCAUUAUGGAACAUUAAUGCUCAUAGUGUGAUGUACAUGAUCCAAGGACAUAUCUGGGUUCAGGUUGUCAAUGACCAUGGUCGAAAUGUGUACAAUGGCCUUCUUAGCCCGGGGCAACUAUUAAUCAUACCACAGAACUAUGUUAUUAUGAAGAAGGCACAACAUGAUGGAAGCAAGUACAUUGAAUUCAAGACUAAUGCAAACUCCAUGGUUAGUCACAUCGCGGGAAAGAGCUCAAUCCUCGGCGCCUUGCCCGUUGAUGUCAUCGCCAAUGCAUACGGCAUCUCUAGGACAGAAGCUCGAAGCCUCAAAUUUAGUAGGGAAGAGGAGCUGGGAGUAUUCGCUCCUAAAUUCAGUCAAAGUAUCUUCCAUAGUUCUCCUACCAGCGAAGAAGAGUCAUCUUAA
rnacentral:rRNA from 1 species